CUCUACGUUCAUGGUAGAAACUUUACUUCUAUUUUAAAAGUUGUCACGUAGAAUCCAGCACGAUCCAUCGGUAUCAUCGUUCAGAAACGAAGAAACGAAAAGAGCAGACGACGGCAACGCCGAACAGACACGUGCUGCACCGAAACACGUUUCGUCGUUCCGCUUC